rnacentral:rRNA from 1 species
GGGUGAGUAAUACAUCGGAACAUGCCCAGUCGUGGGGGAUAACACUUCGAAAGAAGUGCUAAUACCGCAUACGUCCUGAGGGAGAAAGCGGGGGAUCGCAAGACCUCGCGCGAUUGGAGUGGCCGAUGUCAGAUUAGCUAGUUGGUGGGGUAAAGGCCUACCAGGGCAACGAUCUGUAGCUGGUCUGAGAGGAUGAUCAGCCACACUGGGACUGAGACACGGCCCAGACUCCUACGGGAGGCAGCAGUGGGGAAUUUUGGACAAUGGGGGCAACCCUGAUCCAGCCAUUCCGCGUGAGUGAAGAAGGCCUUCGGGUUGUAAAGCUCUUUCGGCAGGAACGAAACGGCGAGCUCUAACAUAGCUCGCUAAUGACGGUACCUGAAGAAG